AGUUGUCUUUCAGGAGGUGUAGCCUGGUUGUGGCCUGGGGAGUUUGGCUGUUCUGUGUGGUGUGCCUCCACGGUGUGGUCUCCAGUGAGCUGCUCAGCAGGUGUAGACCCGGGCAGGGCGAAGCUCUCUGGGCUGUUGACUGUGAGGCCCCUCCCCACCGGUAGAUUUCCAAGCCUCUUCAGUUUUGCAUUCAGCCACAGCAGAAUCCGAAUGAAUACUGAGUGCUAAAGGAAGAUUUUUAGGUUGAAUGAAAAGGAUAUUGAAUAGAAACUUGGACUUAUAAGAGUUUCAGAAAUGGUAAACUCCUCCAGGGCAGGACCUGACUCUUCAGAGGAAUUUUUUAAUCCCCCUCCCCAGAAGUGCCCACGUCAAGGCCAUAGUAGAGAAGGAGCUCAAGAGCAAUCCCUAAGCAACCACGCUUGGAAGCAUCCUGCAACAGAGGGAUUUGUUCCAGACUCAGAUUUAAUCCACUAUUACCUUUUCGUAAGACAAGUGUUGUCUGAAGGAGUCUGUGUGUAAUUUUGAGACAAAAGGAUUGCAGAACUCAGCUCCCAGGUUGUCUCAUAUCUGAUUCUUCGAAAGAGGAAAAGAAGCGAACUCUUCUGCACAAUAGCUGAGCAGAUAGGAGAGAAAAAGCUUGAAGAUUCACAGUGGAGCAAGGCUAAUUGGAGCCUUCCUCAGAGCAGCUCAACUAUCCCAGUUUUACCUAUCCCAUUCCUUGCCAUUCCCACUUGUAAUUCUGUCUUGGCAAGAACACCAUACUGAAGGUUCUUAAAGCAGUUUGUAGACUUUAAUUAGUUCUGUGGAAAGUCAGUCAAAGCUCAGCCUUCAUUCUGCCAACAGAGACAACAGUGGUGGGUGUGGAAGGAAGGCAAGAAGAAGAUGGACACCCAGAGCAGUUGUGCAACUUACUGAAGGCCAUGUGGAUAGGAGGAACUGGGUUUAAAACCCCUGAGUCUUGAUAAAAGUGUCUUAGCCUUCUAGAUUCCUAAACAGGUAGUGGGCUCAUCCUACUAACCUACUUUGCUAGGGUGUUGUUGAUGAAUGCUUAUAAACCCUGUCCUAGAUGAUAGGUUUGGAAGAUUGUUAAAGAAAGCAUGUCAUUAAGUCCCUACUCACCCCCUCCUUGACAAAUAGCCCUGGAGGGAAAUGAAUAUUAGCCAGAAUCGUAGGGCCUCCACUUCAAUGGAAUGAACUGAGAUUCAACAACAAGAGAAAUGUUCCAACAGUGAGGGAAAUCAACAAUGUGCUGGGGGUGAAGGGUAGGGGUUGGGAAGGCCUAAACAGGUGACCAUUGCCAGACAGCCCAGACAAGAUCAUCACAGAAUAGCUGAUUCCCAUUAGACACUGUGGGUGAUCAUUAUCUUAAAAUUCAGGACACUAUUUUUGUAGUAGUUUCCCUUCCUCUCUUUGUAAGAGCAGAAGACCUCUCUGGGGCCUAUCACAAGACAAGCGGGUGUUUGCAAAUGAGGGACGUACUUUGAGACUGAAUUGCUCUGUGCUUCUCUAAAAGACAUGGUUAAGAGUUUGGGCGCUGAUGUUAGAGACUGAGAUUAAAAUCCUUCCUUGCCACUUCCAUCAGUAUAAAUUUGGAUAAGUUUCUUAACUUCUCUAAGCCUUGAUUUUCUCACCUAUAAAAUGGGCCUAAUAAUAGUGCCUAACUUAGAGGUUUGUUGUAAAGGUUAAAUGCAAUUAUUCAGGUAAAGCCUUAAUGGAGCCUGAUAUGUAGUAAGCACUCAAUCCAUUUUAUCUACUGACUCUUUUCUCUGUGUGGGUUACCCACUUUGGAGAUUGUCCCCAGUAAUUUCUUUGGUCAAGUCUUGAUCUCCCUGGCCCCUUGGCUGUCUUCUCCCACCAUGAUCAGUGAGAAGUUGAGGAGCACUAAUACCAAAUUCUUUUUCAUGUUAGUUAGGAGAAAGCAGAAUUACGAAGGUCAACCUGCUGGUGUAAAAAAAUAUUACAUAGAUUAGCCCUGCUCUACAUAUUAGAUAUGUUCUCAAAAUGCCUAAGUGGCCUUUUUUUUUUUUUUUAAUUUAAGUUCUAGGGUACAUGUGCACAACGUGCAGGUUUGUUACAUGUGUAUACAUGUGCCAUGUUGGUGUGUGGCACCCAUUAACUUGUCAUUUACAUUAGGUAUAUCUCCUAAUGCUAUCCCUCCCACCCCCACCCCCUGGCAGGCCCUGGUGUGUGAUGUUCCCCACCCUGUGUCCAUGUGUUCUCGUUGUUCAAUUCCCACCUAUGAGUGAGAACACACGUGUUUGGGUUUUUGUCCUUGCGAUACUUUGCCAAGAAUGAUGGUUUCCAG
rnacentral:lncRNA from 10 species